rnacentral:lncRNA from 1 species
UUAUGGUGAAUUAUUAUGGAUUUGAAGUUCUUAUUUUAUUAUAUGAUGAUUUUAUUAAGUGAUUUUGAUAGAAAUUAAUUUUAAGACCUAAUUGUAAAAAAGUUGUGAAUUAAGGUUUGGUACUGAAAUUAUGAUUUUCAAAGGUUAUUUAGUAGCUUAUAAUGAAUAAAUAAAGUGUUAAUUGAGAAAAAUUAGCUCAAUUGAUGGGUUAAUUGAGUAGGGACUAAAUUGUAAAAACUAUAAAAUUUAGGGCAAAAGUGUAAUUUUAGGAAUUAAAGGGUAUAAACUGUAAAGUAGAG